rnacentral:tRNA from 1 species
GCCGGACUAGCUCAGUUGGUAGAGCAACUGAUUUGUAAUCAGUAGGUCCUUGGUUCAAGUCCGAGGUCCGGCA